UCAAAAUAAGUAAACUUAAAAAAAGAGAUUAAUUUAAAAAAAAUUUUUUAAAAAGAAAUGAUAGGGAAAACCAAAGACAUAGGCUUGGAAGAGCAGAAAAAAAAUAAAAGGAGAUUUGGAAGCCAGGGCCAUGGCCAAACUCAAACAUAUGGUGAGGGCAUUGCUAUAGCAAUGGGCAACUUCAUUUGCACUAAUGCCUCUGAAUUUAUAGUUUCCACAUGUUGCUGUCUUUCCUGCUGAAAGAAAUCCUCCACUGUUAUUUUUUAUUCAUAGCAUAGAAUAAAGUUAUAUUUUCAGAAUUAUAUUUCAAAAUUAAAUUCCAGAAAGGAGUAUCACGUAUUAUAAUCCUGGUUGUCACAGGCAUGGAUCUUUUUAGCUUUGGAAGUGGGAGAUGGGCUCUUGUCCUCACCAGGACUUUUGAAAUCAGGAACUCCCCAAACAUCAAUGGGAGUUCAGAUGCUGGGCAGCCAAAAACAUGAAAACAAAAACAAAAACAAAAACAUUGUAGCUUCUAAAAUUUUACUAAAAGGCAGUAGCAUGCUAGUAAAUGUUUAACAGUUGGCACUCCAGAGGGAAAAGGCAUUGAUUUGUAGCAUUUGCCAAUUUCUAGGUGAAAGUAUCCCACUAUGUUGAAUUUCAAGCUACCAGUGUGAUGUUUCUAACAGAGUUGGAAAAAGAUGAACUCAAUCCUCUCUCAUGAGUUGGUAUCACCUCUUGCUGGAGGUUUUCUCUGAUGGCCAAAGUUGGAAUAAUGCCUCUGCCAUGUACCUAUGUGGGAACCAGAGCGGUUCUCACAUGCAUCCACUUUAUUUCUCCUGACCUGUCUUCCUUGUGGAGUUAUAGUCUUUCUGAGUGUGGUAAGCCAGCCAUAUGCACUGUUUCAUUCCUUGCGUCUUGACAAGACCUGGCACCAAGAGGGGGGCUCAGCAAGCAUUUGUUGAAUACAUAAUGAGGGUAGAAUACAUAA